rnacentral:rRNA from 1 species
UUGACCUCGAAUCAGGUAGGAAUACCCGCUGAACUUAAGCAUAUCAAUAAGCGGAGGAAAAGAAACCAACAGGGAUUGCCCCAGUAACGGCGAGUGAAGCGGCAACAGCUCAAAUUUGAAAUCUGGCUCUCGGGCCCGAGUUGUAAUUUGUAGAGGAUGCUUUUGGUGAGGUGCCUUCCGAGUUCCCUGGAACGGGACGCCAUAGAGGGUGAGAGCCCCGUCUGGUUGGACACCGAUCCUCUGUAAAGCUCCUUCGACGAGUCGAGUAGUUUGGGAAUGCUGCUCUAAAUGGGAGGUAUAUGUCUUCUAAAGCUAAAUACCGGCCAGAGACCGAUAGCGCACAAGUAGAGUGAUCGAAAGAUGAAAAGAACUUUGAAAAGAGAGUUAAACAGUACGUGAAAUUGUUGAAAGGGAAGCGCUUGUGACCAGACUUGGGCUUGGUUGAUCAUCCGGGGUUCUCCCCGGUGCACUCUUCCGGCCCAGGCCAGCAUCAGUUCGCCCUGGGGGACAAAGGCUUCGGGAAUGUGGCUCUCUCCGGGGAGUGUUA